UGCAUUCAUUACUCUAAGUCGCUCUGGAUAAGAGCAUCUGCUAAAUGACUAAAA
rfam:Salmo salar isolate Sally breed double haploid chromosome ssa01, whole genome shotgun sequence.